rnacentral:rRNA from 1 species
AGAGUUUGAUCCUGGCUCAGAACGAACGCUGGCGGCGUGGAUAAGACAUGCAAGUCGAACGAGAGAAUUGCUAGCUUGCUAAUAAUUCUCUAGUGGCGCACGGGUGAGUAACACGUGAGUAACCUGCCCCCGAGAGCGGGAUAGCCCUGGGAAACUGGGAUUAAUACCGCAUAGUAUCGAAAGAUUAAAGCAGCAAUGCGCUUGGGGAUGGGCUCGCGGCCUAUUAGUUAGUUGGUGAGGUAACGGCUCACCAAGGCGAUGACGGGUAGCCGGUCUGAGAGGAUGUCCGGCCACACUGGAACUGAGACACGGUCCAGACACCUACGGGUGGCAGCAGUCGAGAAUCAUUCACAAUGGGGGAAACCCUGAUGGUGCGACGCCGCGUGGGGGAAUGAAGGUCUUCGGAUUGUAAACCCCUGUCAUGUGGGAGCAAAUUAAAAAGAUAGUACCACAAGAGGAAGAGACGGCUAACUCUGUGCCAGCAGCCGCGGUAAUACAGAGGUCUCAAGCGUUGUUCGGAAUCACUGGGCGUAAAGCGUGCGUAGGCUGUUUCGUAAGUCGUGUGUGAAAGGCGCGGGCUCAACCCGCGGACGGCACAUGAUACUGCGAGACUAGAGUAAUGGAGGGGGAACCGGAAUUCUCGGUGUAGCAGUGAAAUGCGUAGAUAUCGAGAGGAACACUCGUGGCGAAGGCGAGUUCCUGGACAUUAACUGACGCUGAGGCACGAAGGCCAGGGGAGCGAAAGGGAUUAGAUACCCCUGUAGUCCUGGCAGUAAACGGUGCACGCUUGGUGUGCGGGGAAUCGACCCCCUGCGUGCCGGAGCUAACGCGUUAAGCGUGCCGCCUGGGGAGUACGGUCGCAAGAUUAAAACUCAAAGGAAUUGACGGGGACCCGCACAAGCGGUGGAGUAUGUGGCUUAAUUCGAUGCAACGCGAAGAACCUUACCUGGGCUUGACAUGUAAUGAACAACAUGUGAAAGCAUGCGACUCUUCGGAGGCGUUACACAGGUGCUGCAUGGCCGUCGUCAGCUCGUGUCGUGAGAUGUUUGGUUAAGUCCAGCAACGAGCGCAACCCCUGUUGCCAGUUACCAGCACGUGAAGGUGGGGACUCUGGCGAGACUGCCCAGAUCAACUGGGAGGAAGGUGGGGACGACGUCAGGUCAGUAUGGCCCUUAUGCCCAGGGCUGCACACGUACUACAAUGCCCAGUACAGAGGGGGCCGAAGCCGCGAGGCGGAGGAAAUCCUAAAAACUGGGCCCAGCUCGGACUGUAGGCUGCAACCCGCCUACACGAAGCCGGAAUCGCUAGUAAUGGCGCAUCAGCUACGGCGCCGUGAAUACGUUCCCGGGUCUUGCACACACCGCCCGUCA